rnacentral:lncRNA from 1 species
CAAACUCUUCCAUGGUGCCCAAUGCCCUCCGCGACAUCUCUACAGCUCUUCUUCCUCUGCGCUUAUAACCCCAGCAACCUCACUUCCUCCCUCCUUUGCAUCCCACCCCUUUGCGCCUGCUGUUCAGAAGGAGCCAUUCUCUUGGUCAUCUUCCCUUAGGAACUCCCAAUCCAUCUUUAGGCUCUCCCGUUUUCUCCCGGAAUCUUCCCUGACACCUAACUUAGGCUGAGAUUUCUCCUCUGUUGCUAACUCCACACCUGCCUGGAAUGCUCGUUUGAGAAGGUUGCCGAGCUCAAGGUUAAUGGGAGAGAAAGCUGUGAAUGGGGACAGUCUUGGCCAUGGAAGGCGGCUGGCGGGUGUGGAGAGCUCAUCUGUGCUACCCCGGAGAAUUUUUGUGAUGAGAAGAUGUGAUCAAGAGACAUCAGUCCAGGAUCUAAACCAUGGUGGAAAUGAAGAGCAGAACAUAGUGACACAUGCUGGCCUUGUCCUGAAACCUGAUGUCCACUACUCCCACUGCUCUGAAAGAGAGAAGAUUUAAAGUCACCUUUGAUGCUCCAAGAGUAGAUCAUAGGUAUCCCAGGCCUCUGCAGGGCCUGGAAGUAGCUUGUCCUACCCUUAGAGAGCUUUUCUAACUGACUUUUUCUGACAGUGAUUUGUCAGAUGUGUAGUGAAUUCUGCAAGUCCGGGCCCCAAAGAAGUAAAAGAGUAAUUGAAGUGGAUUAACUGAUGGUCAACUUGUAACGCCCAGCUGAACUGAAUCAGCAUGGUCUGGGCGUGGAAGAUCCAUCUGAGGAUUGUUGUCAACAGCCACAAAAAGAGAACUGGAGGGAAAGAUCAUGGGUGUUGACUUUCUAGGAGAAGCCUGCUGUGAUUUUUCUGACACCAACUAGGCUGUUCAUGUCAGAGGAGGAAGUUGGGGACUUGCUGUCCCUGGGAAUGGCUGCUGUUUUUGUCAGGGGAGCUCUGAUCUUCACCGUGAGCGUCACUUCCUGACUCCAAUGUGGAUCCCUCAGCUUGGUGGCUCAAAUCCUUCAUCUCACCAACGUAGGUUUUCUGGCUUCCACCACUGGCCUUUGGACCUCCAGGUGCAGAUUCUCAAUAUGGACAAGAAUAAGACAUUGCUGUGGGCUCUAGGCCACUGGCUGGACUCAUGGCGAACAUUGCCUUGGACUCUAACCCUUUAGCUGGACUUGUGUCCAUUGCUGGGAUCCAGGCUGGAUUCUUUGGGGCCCUAGUGUGCAGUUAAUCUCUUGCACUCCUUUGCAUUUGAC